ensembl:lncRNA
CAGGCGUUGCGAAUAUAAAUGCAUAAGAAAAAAAAUUAUUGGUUUAGUCACUUGAGUAAUUAAACAAGCAAAAUCACGGUUCGCAAUUUAAUGAUAAAUAAUUUAAAGAACUACAUAUCCCAGGAGACAGUAAACGCGAUUGGAGAAUAUGGGGUGAGGGUGUCUUGUUUGGGGGGGGCGACACACACACACACACACACACACACACACAAGGACUACACGCAGCAUUUUGAGAAUUACAUUGUUGCACAUUAUCCAAGGGCUUAGAGACGAUAGAAUAACGGACAGGAGGACAAAAUCCUGGUGCACUUCUGCAUCAACAUACUACGUGGACGCUGGAAACGACCACCGACAGAGAACUGAUGUGAAUAAUCAUAUGGAAGCUGAAUGCUGUUCAUUUAGUGCAACAUCCACAACAGUCUGCAGAAAUUUACAUUCCAGAGAGGAGGUGAAGUGGGUGUCUUUAUAUUCCAAAACUGCCCCGACUUUAAGAAUGCAUCAUGAUGAAGUGUUAUGUGUCCUAAGAGGCACUGCAAGCAGAUAGUCUCAGAUUGUGUAGCUAGAGCGGACCCUGACCGGCAUCGUGCACAGAGGGACCCAUGGCUUGCCCCUUUGUGUCCAAACCCAUCUCAUUUAUGUGAGGGUCUCAUUCCACUCUGAACCCACCCUUACCGAUCUGCCAGCGUUGUUUAGAUACAGGAAAGAAAGAAGGGUAGUAAAGGAUUUUCUUGGGGUUGAUGAGAUUGGGUGACCUAAUCAAGUCUUUGUCUCAUCUUUAUGCAGUUUGUUCAAAGUAGAUACAACUCAACUCCAAAGAUGUGGAUGUAAACUCAAUAAAGUGAAAUCAAAUAAGCA